GGAGUUAGGAAAUGUAUGCCGACGAAUACUCGGUAUACUUGACAAAGGCUCCUAAAGAAGCCACGGCUAAAUCCGUGCCAGCAGCCGCGGUAAGACGGAUGUGGCGAGCGUUAUUCGGAAUUACUGGGCUUAAAGGGCACGUAGGCGGCCUCGAAAGCGGAUUGUGAAACCCCCCGGCUCAACCGGGGAACGGCUGUCCGAACUGCGAGGCUUGAGGAUGGGAGGGGAGAGUGGAAC
rnacentral:rRNA from 1 species